AUUUUUUGUCCUUUUAGCUUCCAUGAUUCUAGGUCUGAGGCAGAGACAAUAGAAGAUGAGCUUGGAAAAGUUUGUGCCAGGAAGCAAGAAAGUAAAGGACACUGCAGUUAGCUUGAAGGGGCCAACUCUGGCCAAACUAGAGACAACUCUGUAG
rnacentral:lncRNA from 1 species